rnacentral:rRNA from 1 species
GGCGGCGUGCUUAACACAUGCAAGUCGAGCGGUGAACCGGGCUUCGGCCCGGGGAUCAGCGGCGAACGGGUGCGUAACACGUGGGCAACCUGCCCCUGACUCUGGGAUACCCCCGGGAAACCGGAGCUAAUACCGGAUACUCUCUCGGAACCACAUGGCUCCGAGAGGAAAGGUCCGCCGGUCAGGGAUGGGCCCGCGGCCUAUCAGCUUGUUGGUGAGGUAACGGCUCACCAAGGCGACGACGGGUAGCUGGUCUGAGAGGACGACCAGCCACACUGGAACUGAGAUACGGUCCAGACUCCUACGGGAGGCAGCAGUGGGGAAUCUUGCGCAAUGGGCGAAAGCCUGACGCAGCGACGCCGCGUGGGGGACGAAGCCCUCGGGUUGUAAACCCCUUUCGGCAGGGACGAANCGAUCGUGACGGUACCUGCAGAAGAANUCCCGGCUAACUACGUGCCAGCAGCCGCGGUAAGACGUAGGGGACGAGCGUUGUCCGGAUUCAUUGGGCGUAAAGCGCGCGUAGGCGGCUUGGUAAGUCGGAUGU